UAGCUUUUUGGAAGGUGUUCCUGUAUAAUACAACCAUGCUGUCAUACCCCCUGAACGGAAGUCAAAAAGUCUCAAUUUUGGAUCCCUGCAGGAAAAGGUGGUCCGGGGAAUAGUUCCCGUUUCGUUGCUGGUGUGCAAGAGUCCAUUCUCUGGAUUUAUCUAUUGUUUACCGUUUACGUGGUCCACGUCUUCAGAACAUGGAUACCACCAAUCUUUAUCAACAGUGUGGAAACAACGCGCAACCGAAAUCAUUCCAGGGGAUUAUCAAAUUCGAAAAAAGCACUACCUGCUCACCUUGAACACAGAUUGAGGAACAAUUCCAACACUUUAACAGUCCAAGGCGCAUGGUACCGAGCGUAGUUCAAAAAUUUGUAUCCAUUCUUUUAAUUAAAAAAAAAAAAAAAAGGGAA